CUGAGUAUAUAGAAACAGGUCACCUAACAGCGAAAAGUGACGUAUACAGUUUUGGGGUUGUCUUCCUUGAAAUGUUAUCUGGCAGGCGGGUUAUAGACAGAACCAGGCCGUCCACAGAAAGAAAUUUAGUUGAGUGGGCAAGGCCUUACCUUAGCAGCAGACGUAAUGGUUUCCAAGUGUUGGAUGCUCGCAUUGANCAGUAUACUUUUGGUGCUAUGCGAAAAGCUUUUGGCCUUGCACUCCAAUGCCUAUCAACAGAACCAGAGUUUAGGCCAAACAUGAAACAAGUGAUAAAAACUCUAGAGCAACUUUAUGAUUCUAGUGACAAUAGUUGCAUACGCAGGGUCUUGUAGCAAAAUCCUACAAAAGAUCAAUGACAACUCAAGCAAAUAUCAGAGGAAGGGGUCAAUAAAGUUGGCAAUGAAAAAGCUGACCAUCUUCUCCUCUUUGGGCAAUGAAGAGGUAAAAUA
rnacentral:misc_RNA from 1 species